AGUCUAAAUUUCUUGAUUGAGACGUUAAGGAUAUGGGAAGCUGAGAACGUGAAGGAAAAGGAAGCUCUGGGAGUGAACAGGUAAAGCGACCCCUAAGACUGAGACCAGGUCCCUGGGACCUGUGGCCAAAGACAAAAACGAGGCACAAAGGGUGGCUCUGGCUCAAAAGAAGAUUUAUGAGUCUUCUUUUCAAGAAACAAUGAGACUCAAUCAAGAAACCUUUUCUUCAAUCUCAAACAUCAACAGUGAGCAUCUCCAAGGACUCCCAUCAGGCCCUAGAUAAGAAGCCAGCCUAUCUACAAGGACCAACAGAGUUGCACCAGGGGACUGUCUACUGAAGCAUGCCCACAUCAUCUGGAUCCAGGAUCGAAGGGGAACCAGAAGAUGGUUAUAACCAUCCUCAAAUCAUCCACCAGAGAUAAGCAAAGCCAAGAAGAUGCCUCAGCUGGAUCUCUGUUACUGAUGACAAGCUCCCAGUACCUAUGAAUGUGACCUUAUUUUGAGGUAGAAUUUUACAGAAGU
rnacentral:lncRNA from 1 species